rnacentral:rRNA from 1 species
AUUGAACGCUGGCGGCAUGCCUUACACAUGCAAGUCGAACGGCAGCACGGGGCAACCUGGUGGCGAGUGGCGAACGGGUGAGUAAUGCAUCGGAACGUGCCAUUGAGUGGGGGAUAACGUAGCGAAAGUUGCGCUAAUACCGCAUAUUCUGUGAGCAGGAAAGCAGGGGACCGCAAGGCCUUGCGCUCUUUGAGCGGCCGAUGUCAUAUUAGCUAGUUGGUGAGGUAACGGCUUACCAAGGCGACGAUCUGUAGCGGGUCUGAGAGGAUGAUCCGCCACACUGGAACUGAGACACGGUCCAGACUCCUACGGAGGCAGCAGUGGGGAAUUUUGGACAAUGGGCGCAAGCCUGAUCCAGCCAUGCCGCGUGAGUGAAG